UACGUAGGGUGCAAGCGUUAAUCGGAAUUACUGGGCGUAAAGCGUGCGUAGGCGGUUCGCUGUGUCCGAUGUGAAAGCCCCGGGCUUAACCUGGGAAUGGCAUUGGAAACUGGCGGGCUUGAGUGUGGCAGAGGGGGGUGGAAUUCCGCGUGUAGCAGUGAAAUGCGUAGAGAUGCGGAGGAACACCGAUGGCGAAGGCAGCCCCCUGGGUUAACACUGACGCUCAGGCACGAAAGCGUGGGGAGCAAACAGG
rnacentral:rRNA from 1 species